GUGAGUGUGUGUGUGUGUGAGACGUCUGUGAGUGUCUAAAUCUCUGUAGUGUGUGUGAGACAUGUGUGUGUGUGAGUAUCUAAAUCUCUGUAGUGUGUGUGUGUGUGUGUGUGAGAGAGAGACGUGUGUGAGUGUCUAAAUCUCUGUAGUGUGUGUGAGUAUCUAAAUCUCUGUAGUGUGUGUGACACAUGUGUGUAAGUAUCUAAAUCUGUAAACUGUGUGUGCGACGUGUGAGUGUCUAAAUCUCUGUAAAGUGUGUGUGUGUGAGUGUGUAAAUGUCUGUAGUAUGUGUGAGACGUGUGUCCCGAGUGUUGUAAACCUGGUCCAGGUUGAUUAGGGGGUCACACUGAGUACUUGUGAAACAGUGCAUAGCUUUAGGUGGCCUUGGCCCCUUCUUGUAACACCCCCUUUACAACAACAAAGAAAAUGCCAGCAUGAGGUUCGGUAAUCUGUUAUUAGUAACUUCAUACGGGGGAGGGCUGAGGUACGGACUGAGGACGUCGUGAAAAAACGGCCCUGAAACUUGGACACACUCAGCACUGCACGUUCAGUUUUCCUCGACAGUGGGCCGACGGAAAGCAGCCUGCCUUUGCCACUCCCCUUUAAAGGGCAACAUCAUCCCUCUCUGACCGUGUAAUUGAUGUUAUGGGGGAGAAUCUUGAGACUCUCGGUGUGAAUCGGAAACAAAAUAACUAUUGAGGGCGCUGGAAAAGGGCACCGGUCUGGAUUUUUACCCGAACUAGUUCACGCGCAGUCAAAGCGCGGGGCGGAAACGCCUUCACCGGACGCUGCUUGUCUUUGUCGACUCGUGCGGAUAAACGACAACUCUCCUGGCAAGAUGAACAGGAUAACGGGAAAGGCGAAAGAUGCGACUCUCAUUGAAAUGAGCCAGAGGGAUUCUCACAUUGGAGAGGAUAAUAACGGCCUCUUUUCCACAUCAGAUCGAGACACACAGCUACCCGGCCAUCUGGAGGUAAGGCACCAACACACACCCACACAGUGUAACCUCACACACACCAACACACACCAACACAGUGUAACCUCACACACACCAACACAGUGUAACCUCACACACACCAACACACACCAACACAGUGUAACCUCACACACACCAACACACACCCACACAGUGUAACCUCACACACACCCACACAGUGUAACCUCACACACACCCACACAGUGUAACCUCACACACACCAACACACACCAACACACACCCACAUAGUGUAACCUCACACACACCAACACACACCCACACAGUGUAACCUCACACACACCAACACACACCCACACAGUGUACCCUCACACACACACACACAGUGUAACCUCACACACACCAACACACACCAACACAGUGUAACCUCACACACACCAACACAGUGUAACCUCACACACACCAACACACACCAACACAGUGUAACCUCACACACACCAACACACACCCACACAGUGUAACCUCACACACACCCACACAGUGUAACCUCACACACACCCACACAGUGUAACCUCACACACACCAACACACACCAACACACACCCACAUAGUGUAACCUCACACACACCAACACACACCCACACAGUGUAACCUCACACACACCAACACACACCCACACAGUGUACCCUCACACACACACACACACAGUGUAACCUCACACACACCCACACAGUGUAACCUCACACAUACCAACACACACCCACAUAGUGUAACCUCACACACACCAACACACACCCACACAGUGUAACCUCACACACACCAACACACACCCACACAGUGUAACCUCACACACACCAACACACACCCACACAGCACACACACACCAUACACACAGGUCACACACCAUACACAACACCCACACCGCACACACCAUAAACACCAUACACACCAACACACAGGUCACACACCAUCAACA
ensembl:lncRNA